UGCAAGUCGAACGGAAAGGCCCUGCUUUUGUGGGGUGCUCGAGUGGCGAACGGGUGAGUAACACGUGAGUAACCUGCCCUUGACUUUGGGAUAACUUCAGGAAACUGGGGCUAAUACCGGAUAGGAGCUCCUGCUGCAUGGUGGGGGUUGGAAAGUUUCGGCGGUUGGGGAUGGACUCGCGGCUUAUCAGCUUGUUGGUGGGGUAGUGGCUUACCAAGGCUUUGACGGGUAGCCGGCCUGAGAGGGUGACCGGCCACAUUGGGACUGAGAUACGGCCCAGACUCCUACGGGAGGCAGCAGUGGGGAAUAUUGCACAAUGGGCGGAAGCCUGAUGCAGCAACGCCGCGUGCGGGAUGACGGCCUUCGGGUUGUAAACCGCUUUCGCCUGUGACGAAGCGUGAGUGACGGUAAUGGGUAAAGAAGCACCGGCUAACUACGUGCCAGCAGCCGCGGUGAUACGUAGGGUGCGAGCGUUGUCCGGAUUUAUUGGGCGUAAAGGGCUCGUAGGUGGUUGAUCGCGUCGGAAGUGUAAUCUUGGGGCUUAACCCUGAGCGUGCUUUCGAUACGGGUUGACUUGAGGAAGGUAGGGGAGAAUGGAAUUCCUGGUGGAGCGGUGGAAUGCGCAGAUAUCAGGAGGAACACCAGUGGCGAAGGCGGUUCUCUGGGCCUUUCCUGACGCUGAGGAGCGAAAGCGUGGGGAGCGAACAGGCUUAGAUACCCUGGUAGUCCACGCUGUAAACGGUGGGUACUAGGUGUGGGGUCCAUUCCACGGGUUCCGUGCCGUAGCUAACGCUUUAAGUACCCCGCCUGGGGAGUACGGCCGCAAGGCUAAAACUCAAAGGAAUUGACGGGGCCCCGCACAAGCGGCGGAGCAUGCGGAUUAAUUCGAUGCAACGCGUAGAACCUUACCUGGGUUUGACAUGGAUCGGGAGUGCUCAGAGAUGGGUGUGCCUCUUUUGGGGUCGGUUCACAGGUGGUGCAUGGCUGUCGUCAGCUCGUGUCGUGAGAUGUUGGGUUAAGUCCCGCAACGAGCGCAACCCUUGUUCACUGUUGCCAGCACGUUAUGGUGGGGACUCAGUGGAGACCGCCGGGGUCAACUCGGAGGAAGGUGGGGAUGACGUCAAGUCAUCAUGCCCCUUAUGUCCAGGGCUUCACGCAUGCUACAAUGGCUGGUACAGAGAGUGGCGAGCCUGUGAGGGUGAGCGAAUCUCGGAAAGCCGGUCUCAGUUCGGAUUGGGGUCUGCAACUCGACCUCAUGAAGUCGGAGUCGCUAGUAAUCGCAGAUCAGCAACGCUGCGGUGAAUACGUUCCCGGGGCUUGUACACACCGCCCGUCAAGUCAUGAAAGUUGGUAACACCCGAAGCCGGUGGCCUAACCGUUGUGGGGGAGCCGUCGAAGGUGGGACUGGUGAUUAGGACUAAGUC
rnacentral:rRNA from 1 species